GGGGGAAGCCACCGGAGCAGUUGCACUCGUGUCCACCAUCGUUGUCUUUAGAAGCCGACUGGUGCCGCGGUGCGUCGAAUAUAUGCGGGAAUUGAAACCAAAAACACAAGGAGGACUGGAAGCACCACAUUUUUACCACUACAUUCUGACCAAUCAACUCCAAAAUAUACACAAAUGGAUUCAACCUAACCCAUCAGAAAGCACAUGGCUAGAUUUUAACACAAACCCCCAGCCUGUCUGAAAUGCAGUGCUGACCAGCUGUCCCCAUAUUCUCACAGAUCUUCAACAGAUCUUUGGAGUUGUGCAAAGUCCCUUCAUUCUUCAAAUGCUCCACCAUCAUCCCCGUCUAACUCAGCUCUCUAUGCCCAUCUCCGUCUGUCAGUGAAUCACCAGCUUCCUGACAGACAGACAGCAGCUAGUGAGGCCGGGAAAAUACACAUCCAGCACCCGGACGAUCAGCACCGGAGCUCCCCAGGGCUGCGUUCUCUCCCCACUGCUCUU